GUGCUAGCCUUGGCAGCUCAUAUACUUAAUUGGAACAAUACAAAGAAGAUUAGUGUGGCUCCUGUACAAGGAUGACCCUCAAAUUUGUGAAGCAUUCCAUAUUUUU